CUGGCGGCGUGCUUAACACAUGCAAGUCGAACGGGAAUUACAUUUAGCUUGCUAAGUUGUAAUUCUAGUGGCGGACGGGUGAGUAACGCGUGGGUAACCUGCCUUAUACCGGGGGACAACAGUUGGAAACGACUGCUAAUACCGCAUAAGCGCACGGGAAGGCAUCUUUCUGUGUGAAAAAACUCCGGUGGUAUAAGAUGGACCCGCGUCUGAUUAGCCAGUUGGCGGUGUAACGGACCACCAAAGCGACGAUCAGUAGCCGGCCUGAGAGGGCAAACGGCCACAUUGGGACUGAGACACGGCCCAAACUCCUACGGGAGGCAGCAGUGGGGAAUAUUGCACAAUGGAGGAAACUCUGAUGCAGCGACGCCGCGUGAGUGAAGAAGUAUUUCGGUAUGUAAAGCUCUAUCAGCAGGAAAGAAAAUGACGGUACCUGACUAAGAAGCCCCGGCUAACUACGUGCCAGCCGCCGC
rnacentral:rRNA from 1 species